rnacentral:rRNA from 1 species
AUUGAACGCUGGCGGCAGGCUUAACACAUGCAAGUCGAGCGGAGUGAUGGUGCUUGCACCAUCACUUAGCGGCGAACGGGUGAGUAAUGCCUAGGAAUCUGCCCAUUAGCGGGGGACAACGUGUGGAAACGCACGCUAAUACCGCAUACGCCCUACGGGGGAAAGCAGGGGACUCUUUUAGAGCCUUGCACUAAUGGAUGAGCCUAGGUCGGAUUAGCUAGUUGGUGGGGUAAAGGCCUACCAAGGCGACGAUCUGUAGCGGGUCUGAGAGGAUGAUCCGCCACACUGGAACUGAGACACGGUCCAGACUCCUACGGGAGGCAGCAGUGGGGAAUAUUGGACAAUGGGCGCAAGCCUGAUCCAGCCAUGCCGCGUGUGUGAAGAAGGCCUUUUGGUUGUAAAGCACUUUAAGCGAGGAGGAGGCUACCUGUAUUAAUACUAUAGGAUAGUGGACGUUACUCGCAGAAUAAGCACCGGCUAACUCUGUGC